UGCAAAGAACAAAGUCGGAUGGUCAGAU
rnacentral:sRNA from 1 species